AAGAUUUCUUCGGAAUGAAUUUGAUUUAGUUUAGUGGCGGACGGGUGAGUAACGCGUGAGUAACCUGCCUUCAAGAGGGGGAUAACAUUCUGAAAAGAAUGCUAAUACCGCAUGACAUAUCGGAACCACAUGGUUUUGAUAUCAAAGAUUUUAUCGCUUGAAGAUGGACUCGCGUCCGAUUAGUUAGUUGGUGAGGUAACGGCUCACCAAGACCGCGAUCGGUAGCCGGACUGAGAGGUUGAACGGCCACAUUGGGACUGAGACACGGCCCAGACUCCUACGGGAGGCAGCAGUGGGGGAUAUUGCGCAAUGGGGGCAACCCUGACGCAGCAACGCCGCGUGAAGGAUGAAGGUUUUCGGAUUGUAAACUUCUUUUAUUAAGGACGAAAAUUGACGGUACUUAAUGAAUAAGCUCCGGCUAACUACGUGCCAGCAGCCGCGGUAAUACGUAGGGAGCAAGCGUUGUCCGGAUUUACUGGGUGUAAAGGGUGCGUAGGCGGCUUUGCAAGUCAGAUGUGAAAUCUAUGGGCUCAACCCAUAAACUGCAUUUGAAACUGUAGAGCUUGAGUGAAGUAGA
rnacentral:rRNA from 1 species